rnacentral:rRNA from 1 species
AUUGAACGCUGUCGGCAGGCCUAACACAUUCAAGUCGAACGAGUGGCGUACGGGUGAGUAAUGUCUUGGAAACGGCCUUAUGGAGGGGGAUAACUACUGGACACUGUAGCUAAUACCGCAUACCCUCAGAUGUGCCCAGCUUGUAUUAGCUAGUGGGUGUGGUAACGGCUCACCAAGGCGCCAAUCCCUAGCUGGUCUGAGAGGAUGACCAGCCACACUGGAACUGAGACACGGUCCAGACUCCUACGGGAGGCAGCAGUGGGGAAUAUUGCACAAUGGGCGCAAGCCUGAUGCAGCCAUGCCGCGUGUAUGAAGAAGGCCUUCGGGUUGUAAAGUACUUUCAGCGGGGAGGCGUUACCCGCAGAAGAAGCACCGGCUAACUCCGUGCCAGCAGCCGCGGUAAUUC